GAUAUUCUUAUGUUUUGGCAGCAUAACAGAUAUAACACUGUAAAUAUGGCUGACGCUGCAGUACAUUUAAUUUUAUAAGGAAUAAAAUAGUUUUGGUUUUUAGAGAAAGGAAUGUGGAGUUACUUUUCGUUUAUGCUUCUGAAUGGGCACAUGCUAUUCCAAGAAGGCCAGUGGAGGGAAUAAUCCAUACAUGACAUCACAGAUGGCAGCUACAAAAUUGGAUGAGGCUUCGAGAUUGGCUCGUCCAACGCCUUAUACCAGAAGUGGAAAUGCAAACAUUGAGUUUGCAGCCAAGAAAAAUGUUCCACUUCCCACAAAAUUUAAUACAUUAUCAACUGUUGAGCAGGGAGAUAUUAAAAAUUUAAAGCACUACCAGUCAAGUAUACCUCGCUUUAGCUCUAGUCUACCCACAGCUACAGGAGAACAAAGAAUCGGUUCUCCUUUAAAUGAAAAUGAGACCUUACAUGUAGUAAAUAAUAAUGCUAUUGUUAACUCUCGCUCUGCUUUUAAUGUAUCAAGUACGUCACCUUCAUCUUCUAACAAAUACCUUAAUAAAUCUGAAUCAUUAAUCAAACCAAAAAAAACUAGCAAAAGUUGUCCUGAAAAAAUUCUGAGCCCAGAUAAUGAACGAAUUGUACGAACACCUGCCAGAGGAUCCGGUAUUUCUCCUCGUCAAAACCGCAAUAAAUCUCCCGGACCUCAGCAGGCCGAAAUUAAAGUUUUUUCGAAAUCUCAACAAUCUAAAACAGUAAGUGGUAGAAAUUCUGGUGGUCCUAGUCCUGUCUCAAAAUCCCCAUCAAGAAAGGGAUUCGAAAGUCGUGAUAGCUUGUCAGAUUUUGAUUCUGGAAUUGGAAAUAGCUUAACGGAUAAGAACAGACCCGAAGACUCGGACACUGUUAAAGAUUUGGAGCAACUUGAAUUACAGGAUGAAAGCUCGCCAAAUCUCAGCUUGGGUAGUAAAUCUUCUGCAGGUACUCCUAAAUCUCCUUCGGAUAGCAAACUGGCCGUGAAGGCUCCUACUUAUAAAAGGGAACCAAAUGGAAAGUGGAGUUUCGAUGAUAAGCAUUUUGGACCUGAAUCAACUUUGCGAACAAGUGAACCUAAAUCUAUUCCCAAUUCUGGCCCUAGCAGUCCACGAGAAAAACACCCCUUCAAGAUGACUGCUUCGGAAAAUAUAUUUUCCACCUAUGCAUCUUAUAAAGGUCUAUUGUCUUAUCAAAAGAAGUCUUUCAGAUCCCCCGAGAAUGGCAAGUUGAGCCCUAAAACAAGUCGCUCAGAGAAGACUUCUCGGGUUGUUCAGUCAUCAGUUUCAAAUUUGUCUAGUAUUCCAAAAAUUAGAAGGCAUGGUUCUCAGCCUACUCCUGGUGGAAGUAUCUUUUAUUGCACUACUGAGGAGAAUCAGUGUAGUGAAACGAAAUAUGAUAAUGCUUUUGAAUCCACAGUGAAAUCAAACAAUGAUACCAAACAGUCUAGUCUAGAUUCUGAUGAAAAAUCAGACAGUACAGGAGUUCUCAGCCCACCAUCUGAAGAGAACAGAGAGUUUCUUAUUGAUGAUGAAAUAGCAGAUCAGCCUGGUUUGACUUUCGGCAAUGAACCCAAAUCAGAAGAUUCAGAUGUGCAAUCGCUGCAGAUGGCAAUGAGUGAGUUGCAUGCUUUGCAAAUGUCUAGUUCUGUUAAAAAGCGAACGGACAGUGUGAGUAGCUAUUCCAGCAGGAAGGGUCGUUUCGGGGAUCAUCGUGACAGUUUGAUUUUGGGAUCAGAACUUGGUUCUUCAUGUUCUAGCAUCGCUUCUGAUGAUUUAAUGCUGGAUUAUGAAAAGUCUUAUGAUGGGUUUCCUGAAGGCACAGUAAAUGAAGGGCCUGCUUCACCUAUGAGAAAACUACAUGAAACAGAAACUGAUAAAGUUACCCCAUUAAAAAAGGAGAAAAAAUUUGAUUUUGAAGAAAAAGCAAGGAAAAGAAUAUCUAAUCAUCGUAAAUUGUCUGGUCCCUUGUCAACUUCCGCUGAUCGCUUAGAAUGGCGCCAACGAACCGUUAGUCUACCUUUACGACCACCUCGUCAAAUGAGUGUGUGUGAGGCAGACGAUGGUGGCCUGAAAUUGGAUUCUUCCUCAUAUCGAUUAUUGUGCCAAGAUUUAAAUGGUGUAAAAACUCUUCUUUUAAGACUGAAGUCUGUGAUUCAAGAGGCUGAAACUAUAAAUCCCUUUGAUCAAUCAAGCCCUAAUAAUAUAUUCUACCAUAGUUUAGUGCAGAAUGAUUUGCCUUCAAGCUUAGCCUCAAGUACUUCAACGGAAAAGAAAACACCAGAUUUGUCUACUAUUUAUCAGGAAAAUGCAGACAUGAAAAGGCAGCUUGUACUUUUACAACAACAGUUAGAAGAUAAAGAUCAUACAAUUAACUUACUUCAACAACAAAUGACAAAAUAUUUAAAUAUUCAAGUAAACAAUUGUAACCAUGGGUUACCAACCUGCAAUGCAGCUACUCAAACUGAUAGGAUACUGUUUGUAGAGUCGCUCAUUAACAGCCUCUUUAUCAUCUAGUUCAUCCGCUGAUGACUCUAUUGAAACUUUAGUUAGCUUCAGGAUUACUAAGUGCACAGGAAGAUUUUGAAAAAUCAUUUAAAAGAAA
rnacentral:misc_RNA from 1 species